ensembl:lncRNA
AUAUGACUUAACUGCCUUCUGAGAACAUGUCUCCACCCUAACUUAAUCUCCUGCUCUGCUUUUUGUCCCAGAGUUUCAGAAUGAGAAUCAGGAGUCCCUGAUCCUAGUCUACGGUCUAAGAGUAAAUUCUUGUUUGGGGAUCUUUUUUUUUUUUUUUUUUGUUUAACCAUUGAAUCUGUGAAAUCUGGAUUUGUGCCUAGCAUAGAGUAGAUGCUUAGUAUUUUUUGAAUGAAUCAUUGUUUUAUGCCCACUUCAGCACUCUUUCCCUGAUUUAUUACUUGGAAUUCAUCACUGCCUAGUAAAUAAGUUUCUGAGUUUUUAAUAUAAUAUGACUAUCUAGGUUCUAAUUGAGUUGAAUUAUUAAUAGUAAACUUCCCUUAUGAGUCUGGUUUUGCGGCUUAGUAGAAUUUUCAGUCCUCUUGAUGCAUUUUCUGAUCCUUAAACUUUUGAAAGAAAUGAUCUUCUACUACUUGGUUUAUUAAGAAUGAGUAAGUUAGUCACUCAGUCGUGUCCGACUCUUUGGGACUAUAGCCCAUGGACUGUAGUCCACCAGGCUCCUUUAUCCAUGGGAUUCUCCAGGCAAGAGUAUGGGAGUGGGUUGCCAUUCCCUUCUCCAGGGGAUCUUCCCAACCCAGGGAUUGCUCCUAGGUUUCCCACACUACAGGCAGAUUCUUUACCAUCUGAGCCACCAGGGAAGCCCUUACUGAGAAUAGUUUCUUCACUGAAUACAUUCCAUGGGCCUGUAACACAUAUAGGCAGUGCCGCUAUAUACAAGUAUGUCACCCAUGUCCCCAGGGAUCUUACACUUUAGAUGAAGAGACACAGAAGUGGAGCUCUAAGAGAAUAAUUACAUUUUGGGUCAUGAAGCAUUGAUCCACACGCGCAUUAGGAGUUCUAGGAAAAGGAGGGAUCCAUGUGGGCUGAAGCAGUAGAAAAAGAAUGCAGAAAGGAGAUGGAAUUUGAAUUGCUUUUGAAAAGGUAGUUAAGAUUUUGACAAGCAUCUGGUGGAGAAUUGACAUCCUAAGAUAGAGCAGUAGUGUAGUCAAGAAUGAAAACAGGAUUGAACAUGUUUAGACAAAGCCCAGAUUUCAGAUUUCUCUGAGUGUGGGGACUAGUGGGAAGUUAAAGUAACUAGAUUUAAUAGGGUUUUACUCCAGAUUCUAAAACCCUGAAGAGGGUCUGAGGACAGAAUUUAGAGGAGUCCCUGCAUUUAGAUGAAAAGAAAAGUUCUUUAUAUUGUUACUAGCAAUAACCUGUAACUGAAAUUUAACCUUUCCUUCUAUUAUGAUUUUAACCAGUAAAGCACAGUAGUAUUACCAGUCCUGUGGUUUUAUUAGUCGUAGAAAAAGCACAGAUAUUAUGUUUACUGUUUUGGCUAUCUCUGAAUAUAUUUUAUGCAAAUUACUACUUUAAAACUAGUUGUUAUUAGACCCCACUGGAGUUUACAUGUUGGGUGUUAGUAAAGAAGCUGAUACAUAAAUAUAUCAAAAAUAUGGGUUCUGAAAAAUACUGGUGAUUUUCAGUAUAAUUGAUUUUCUUUGUGAUCACUGAUUUUAUUUUACUCAUUUAAAAUAAAUCUGGCCGCCUUUGUAAUCCUGUGUACUGUGUUUUAUGUAUUUCAAGUCUUUCUGAGAGGCGAUAUGUAGCUUUCUCCCUGCCAAGUGGGGGUCCAAGGUACCAGUUCCAGUGGAACCAAACUGGAGAAGGAAGUCCUUGAAAACCACAGUGAAAAGUUUUAGUUGAAGUGAUAAACAGGGGAGGAACCUAGUAUAUUUUUCAUUUUUUUUGUUGUUUUAACAAAAUGGUGUAUUUACUCUGUACAUUUACUGUUUUAAAUUUCAUCAAGUUGGAGAAAAGAAAGCCUCUUCUUAGCUUACAGUUAUAGAUAAACUAAACUUUAAAAGUGCACAGAAGUUCAAAUAUAAUACCACAGUCACUGUCUUUACCCUCUUAUUAUGUAUCUGUUCCAGUUUCUUAAGUUCUUGUGCAAAGCAGUGAAAUAUUUAGGGUGGUUAUAUAGGAACCUCUCUUACUCUGCUCUUCUAUAUGUGAUUGGUCAAAUGUGAAGGACUUCAUGGCUGGGAUAUAGGCUGUGGGUCUGGUCAUUUCUAAGUCGGAUGAUUGGGAUAAUGUGGUAGCAGUUGGGGUGGAGCAGAAUUGGCAGUUGUGAUAUUUGGAAAGAAGAACCUAUAGGACUUGGUGACAGAUGUGAAGGCUGAAAUGCAUGGAGUGGUGUUAGGGAAAGUAUCAAAAGGAAAGUUAAGAACAGGACACCUGAAUUGGGGUGUAUAUAUUGUAUAUUAUGUAAUACCCCCAGCAAAGUUUGAGGCAUCACCCAGCAUUUAAACACUAGUAUUUCUGCAGUGGAAAAUGGAAAUGUUUCAGUAAGUAGGCUAAAUAAAGCCUGUAAGUAGCUUCACAUCAGUUCAAAGCAGAUUUUUGCCACUAUCAGAUGAGCUUUGACAUGAAACUUAAUAAGAAAUCUUUUCAGAACUUUUUAGAUUUUGGAACUACGGAAGUAAUUGUGAACUGUGUUGACUGUAAUAUCCAGUGAGGAGAGUCUUAGGAGUGGUGUUUUGAGGAAUGUUAGUUAUUGGAUGGAUGAAAUUUGAAGCAGUUGAGAAAAGUAAAAGAAAGCAAGAGAAAAGGUAAUUUCAUUUUUCAGGUUAACAAGAAAAUUGCUAUUUCUAAUGAAAACAGGAAGUUGAAGAGGGGAAGCCAGUUUGGGGAAGUUUAAGUUUAAACUUCAGCACAAUUAAGAGGGAAAAAAAAUCUUGUUUCACAUGAGAUACCUUUUAUUUUUCAUGUAUUUUGUAUCAUGGGUAAACAAGCUUAGUAGUUUAGAAGUGUUGCAGUGGAAAAUUUCCUUUUAAAAUAAGCUCUUAAUUUUCAGAGCCUGUAGACUCUGAUGUUGAGAUAUGAAAGUACUUCUAGUUUGGGAGUGGUUGGAAAGGUAUUCCUAUAUAAGUAGGAUUGUGGCUCUGCCCGCUAAAAAAAGAACCUGGCCGAUAGACUGAAAGGAGUGGAGUAAGGUAGGGGGUCCUCUAACAGGAUGCUUGUGUGUGUGGCUGAAUCAUUAGUAUGGCUGUUUUUAUAAUCAUAUGAAUAUAUUCAGGAGUAGUAAUUGCUGGAGAAGCAGUGGUAACUGACAUGUUUUCAGUGCUUACCACAUACCAGGCCCUAUUUUAGGCUGUGUUCAGCAGACAGUCUAGUGGCAUCUGUUCCUGCUUUGUAGACAAGGUUGUGGUUAUCAACCUAGAUGGGAAGCAUUAGGCUAGAGAGUGGUAUAAUUUUGAUUCCCAGGUCCCCUUUAAAAAUCUGGAAGAUAGAUAACUAAUGCAUGAGUUUGUGAAAUUGAAUGGGUUUUAACUUUAUUGCCAUUCUGUGACUUAAAAAAAAAAAAACCUUUGGUGAAUGGACUCAUACAUUAGUAUUGUCAUAUUAGAAAUAUGGACAAGUAUCUUUAACAAAAAUGAAACAGGGUCCAAUCAUUACUCUUGAAAUUUGUUUAGUUGCUUUCUGUUUACUAUAUAUAAAUAUGCUGUAUAAGUGUACACUUUAUGAUUCAUAAGUUUAAAAAGGCAAAUAUUGUCUUAAACUUUUAUUCAAAUCCUGCUAGUGACUUGUGUGAGUUGAACUUUAUGUUUUUCUUCUAUUUAUUAAAUAAGGAUGUUGGGCUAAAUCUCAAAGGCCCUUUCAACAUUGAAUUCUAUGAUUCUGAUUGUUUAAUUUUCAUCAGAACAGAAAGCAGCUUCUUAAAGAAGCCUCUCCCUAGAUUAGUACUACAAGUGUAGAUAAGAUACCGGAGGAAGAAGUGAAAGAAGAAAUGUCAUAGUUUGUACUUAAAUCCUUUUGACAAACAUUAAGAAGCACUGAAACAAGGAACCUUGGAAACUAGAAGAAUGUGCAGUGUUGACCAGAAAAGUUUUCAAGAAGAGCAUGAUCAGAAAGCAUUCAAGUUAGUACUCAAUUAAUGAGUCAAGUUAAUAAACUAUAGAGGAAGGAGCCCUGGGCCUGAAGUUAGAAAGCUACAACUACAUUUCUGGCUCUAACUCUGCUGCUUAUUGGAGUUUUGAUGAUCAGAAAAUUACUUAAUUUUUCUGAACCUUGCAAAGGAGAGUAAUAAAUACCUGGCCUUACUUGGUUUUUCAUAAGGAUCAAAUGAUAUGGUAAAUUAGGUGGCAGUAGUGGUAAAGAACCCACCUGACAACGCAGAAGAUGCAAGAGAUGCAGGUUUGAUCCCUGGGUCGGGAAGAUCCCUUGGAAGAGGGCAUGGCAGCGCUCUCCAGUAUUGCCUGGAGAAUGAAUCCCUUGGACAGAGGAAGCUGGCCGGCUACAGAUCACAGAGUCGGACACGACUGAAGCAACUUGGCACACACACACGCGAUAAAACUUAAAAUAUUCUGUGACCUUUCUUUUAAAAAGCAAAAUUUAACUGAGUACAUUUGAAGAUGUGAUUGUAUUUAUUUUAAAAAAUAUAUGAAUCAAGCAGCAAAGUUGUUACAAAAUGAUAGGUAAGGAUCCUGAAGAGGUUAUUGAAUUUGGUGAUUUGAAUGAAACCGUUAGCAAGGGAAGAAACUUGAGGGCAGAUUAAAGUAAAGUUGAGGCCAGAGCAUUACAGCUCAGUGCAGAAGUUUGGAAAGGCGCAGAUGUUGGAGAGAGAGGGCCUGGCAUGGCUUGUUUACUCCUUGCACUGCUGUUGCAGACUUCUGUUUGCCUGUUUGUGUUCCUCACUGGAGCAGGGAUAGGUCGAAAGCAGGAACUCCAGUUCAUUCUCAGUGCCUUGAAUAGAGUAGCAAUUUUAAUAAAUAGCUUUGUAAAUAAAUACUUGCUGAACAAGACUUAACUAGUAAAGAAAAUUUUUGUGGUACGAAUUUGCGCAUGGUGUAUGUUUAAAAUGGUUAAGACUUAAACAUAUUCAUAGGUUGAAGUGAGAGACUGAAAAGAAAAGGUAUUGGUUUUCUCAAAGAAACAGGAAAAAAAAGGAUAGGAUCUGGAGCCACAAAUGAAAAUGCUGGUCUUAACUGGUAGAGAGACUGUUCCUUACGAAAAGCACCAGAUAAUUAUGUAUUUCAGAACAUAGAGGGAAAAAAGUAAGCUUCCAUAUUCGUUUUACAAAACUAAGAUAACAUAAAAUAUGAGCAUAAAAGAAGAUUGCAUACCAGUUUCACAUAAUGCAAAAAAUGCAUAAUAAAAUCAAAUGGAAUUUAACAUUACAUUAACAGAGUACUACAAAUGAGUGGUAUUCCCGUUAGGAAUAAAUCAAAUUAAGUUAUAUUAGGUGAUGGGACAUGUGAAUAUCCUGAGGGAUAUCAAAAGAAGGGAAAUCAACAUUUAUUUCUAAUAAGAAUCCUUAGUGAAACAAAAAUAAAUGAACAUAGAUAUAUAAGAUUUUAUAUAUCUCAGACCAGAAGCCAGCAUUUUGUUACUAGAAAUGGUGAGGUACUAGAAUUUCUAUUUUAGUAUUUAGGGAAAUACUAAAUUCCUUUUAAAAACUCAUGAAUCAAAAAAGGUCUGGCUGGCAUUACUGUUACAUAACAUUGUCUUGAGAAAGCUGGCCAAUAUAAUUAGACCAAAAACAAAAUAAGAGGUGUAAUUAUUGAAAGGGAAGAGGCACAUUUAUUUGUAAAUGACAGUUUAUAUCUGGAAAAUCCAAAAGAAUCAACUGAAACAUUAUGUGAGUAAUGAGAUUUCAAUGUGAUAAUCUGGUUAUAAAAUAAAAACACCCAAAAAUUAAUGGUUUAUCUAGAAAAUUGUUUCUUUCCAUGGUCUGUAAACUGAAAGCCUAUCCAUAUGGAUUAAUGAAUGGGAAUCCUCAUUCUUAAAUACUCUUUAUUAUGCCUGCUGGCAAAACUUACUUAUCUUAUCAUCUCUAAGUAAAUUCAUCUCUAAGUCUAUUUUGAGUAAGAUUCUUUCCAUGUUAACUUUUAAAACCUCUGAAAUAAAGUUGUAGUAGUGAACACAUUUCAAGUAAACUUUAAGAAAAGAAGUUUUUUUUUUCUUUUUUCUUUUUAGAAUUCCUUGUGGCUUGUGAUACUUGCUCUAUUACUUGGUAAUGCCAGGGAAGGUGUAAUCUGAGCUCUGAACCAUAUUUGGUAAAUAAUAAUUUUAUGUGGAACCCACUGUUCUAUCAGUAAGAGGAAAAUUAUUGCUCAAAUGUAAGGCUCUUCUACGCCCUUAAAGCAUUUCCUGUCUUAAAGACCAAGUUAGAUCAUAUAUUGAUUCCUUUUGUUUUUUAAAAGACACUGUAUCCCGGUUCUAUACUAUUUUGACUAGAGGUGUGUUGACAAAAGUAUUUUCUGCUUUACUUGAAAGAGGAAGAAUUACAUGUCUAUUUACUUGUUUACCAUUAAUUCUCUUUAUCCUAAGUGUAAAUUGUUAUGUUUUUAUUUAUCAUCAGUUCUCAAAAUUGAGCUCUCUCACAUUUGCCUUGUUCUGGGAUCAGUGUUGAUAAAUCAGGUUAUCUCUCUUAUGAUGUGAUGCAGUUGAGUUAUUUAAAGCUAAAGCUUGCCACACAGCUGUUGUUUCAGCAUUUUAUGACAAUGAAAGCUUAAGUAUACUCAGAUGUUUAUAGCAAAGCUUCCCAGGUGGCACAGUGGUAAAGAACCCACCUGCCAUUGCAGGAGAUGAUAGAGUGUGGGUUCGAUCCCUGGGUCAGGGCAAUCCCCUGGAGUAGGAAAUGACAACUCACUCCAGUAUUCUUGCCUGGAGAAUCCCAUGGACCAAGGACCCUAGCAGGCCCUAGCCCGUGGGGUCACAAAGAGUUGGACACAACUGAGCGUAUAGAAAACUGAAUUGAAUACCUACUGUCUGCCAGGUUGUUAGCUGCUAAUUCUCAUGACAAUCCAGUGAGGUAGGGGAUGCUAUCCCAUUUAAUAGAACAGAAACUUCUGCAGAGUUUUAGUUUGUAUAGGAACCAGAUUUGGAACCUAGAUCUUUCUCUACCAGAAUAUUUUCAUCUACAGCAUGCCAUUACAAAAGGUGGAAAAUUGACGUUGUCCUUAAAAACUACUUUCAUUCUCUUUUGCUUUGUUGUGUCCUGGUUACUAGAAAUGCAGGGAGUUAAGUUCUUUACAUCCUUGUUUUAGCACUACUCUUUUGUCCUGUUACAAUCCUCACCAUCUGCCAUCAUUGGACAGCAGCAGCAGAUUCAGUUUAUUUUGACUACUGUGGGAUUGAGUCUCUUCUUUCGUAGACACUCCUAAAAUUAUCAGCUUGCCAAGCAUACGAACAUCAUUUCUAGGCCCUAGUAAUCUAAUUAGUACAACAUUCUAACAUUUUUAAUAGCCUACCAUUUCUGUAACCUUUGUACUUGCAAGUUUUCUUGUGUGUGUUUUAAUAAUGUGGACCUAACCAAAAAAAAAAAAUCAUUGACUCUGUUUUGGUAAUGGAAAAAAGAAUUUCUAGUGUGGUUAAGAACCACAUUUAUGAGCUGUUCUUUGCAUCCUUCUUUAAGAAUUACCAAGUGUUUUUAAAAAUUGGAACUUUAUUUCACUGCUUAGAUGUAUCUAAAGCAUUUCUUAAGAAAAGUCUGAGAACUGAUUGUAGAAAUUUAGGGAAACAGAAGGUAAUUGGAAAUAAGAUAGCAAAAGAGAUGAGUAAAGUGGCUUAAAAAUGAGAGCUUUACAAUUCCAGUCUUACUAAUGAAAAUGAACUUACUGUUGGUUUUCUCAUUCUAUAUACUCUGGUUCUAUAUUGGACAGUCUGUUGCUGAAAGCCAGUAGAGAUUUCAUAAAGGCUACUGGUUUAGUUUCUAGAAUUAGAAGUUUAGAGUGGAGUCGGGUAGAUUAAGACAAUGAAUUAAGUAAUGCAAAUAGCAUCUUUUGGUAACUUGUAUUUAAGAGAGUCUUCCAUUUAAGAAUAUUUCCUAUGCGAGACACUGGGGACUACCUCACUGCUAUUAGCUCACAAUGUUAUCUGGUCACGUUUCUUGUUCUGCCUACCUCUAGUUUACUCUAGUUUCUCUUCUGCUUUCAAGGCUCCAGACCCAGUUCCUGGACCUGCCCUGGAAAAGAAGUAUCCAGUAGAGAUGAGCUCACUGCAGUUACUUAAUUAAAAAUUUGUAAGCUGCAAAAAUGGCAAUGGGCCAAUCAAGAACAGCUACCAUUUGAAUUUUUCUAUUUCCAGGAAUGUUGUAAGAACUGAAAUAAUACAGGUUAACAUUGUUCAGCACAGAACCUGAUCCAUGGUCCUUGGGAAUACAGCUGUAAACUUUGAAGUUCUUGAUCCUAUGGAGCUCACGCUUUAAGGUUAGGCAGGUAGGUAGAUAAGUAGAUAUGUCAGUAUUGAUAAAAUGCUAUGAAGUAAAACCAAGGUAUGAAGAUGUGAUAGGGAAGGAGAGGAGAGAAGUGUGGCAAUAUUCUAGGUAGAAAGAUUGGUCAAGGAAGCAGUCUGAUCAGACUUCUUAGUGAAGUGUGAGAGAGCCAUGCAAAUAUCUGAGGGGAAAGGGUUCCAAGCAAAAGGGGCCACAAGUCUAAAAGACCCAAGGGAGGAAUGAGGUUAGCUUCUCUUUGAGAAAUAACCAGUGUGAGGGAACUCUGUGGAACUGAGGAAACAAAGACAGUGGUAGGAGAUGAAGUCCCAGGUGGUAGUUAGCCAGGGGUCUUGUGUUACAGGAUUUUGUGCUGGGGAAAUGAUUGUUCGGAUUUACUUUUCACAAGGAUCACUCUGUUCAGUAGAGUAAGAGGUAGGGGUGGAGCAAAGAGUUAAGCAAGGAGGAGACCUUGGCAGUAGCAGUCUAGGUGAGCUGUGAUCAUGGCUUGAAUAAGAGCAGUAGUAAUAGAGGUGGGAAAAUGUGAUCAGAUUCAGAAUAAUUCUUUUGCAGAUAGCCAGCAAAACUUGAUGAUAGAUUAGAUAUGGCAUGUGAGAAGGACCAACUGAGUGACUGAUGGUACCAUAUAUGGAGGUGAAAGAGACUGGGAAAGAUUUGGUCUGGGUAGGGGAAAUGAAGAGUUCAAUUUUGGACAUACUAAGUUUGAAGUGAAUUUUAGAUAUCCAGACAUAGAUGUGAAGAAAGCAGCUGGUCAUGUAGCCUGGAACUCAAGGGAGAAAGAGCUCCCUUGGAGUUGGACAUAGAUAUUUGCAAAGCCUUUGUUUAAAGUAGUGUGUUUGGUUGAGAUUACCUUGACGAGGAACGUAGGUGUAAUCGAAAAGAAACCCUAGGUCUGAACUGCAUAACUCACUGAUGUUUAGAUGUCCAGAGAAGGAUCUGACAAAACUGACAAGGAACUGCCAGUGGGUGGGUAGAAAUCCAGAAGAGUAUAAAUCUCAGAAGCUAAGUGAAGAAAUUGUUUAGAGAAUGGGGAGUGGUUGACUGGUUUAUAAACUGAAGAGAGAUCUAGUGAGAUGAGGCUUGAGGAGUGACGUUAAGUUUAACAAUCUGAAGAUCCUGGGCAACUUUGAUAAGUAGUUUCAGUGAAGAAAAACUAUGAAAACCUGAGUUGGUAGAUUUUAAAGUGAUAAGAGGGGGGAAAUGAAGACAAAGUAUAAACCAUCCUUUCAAGGAGUUUAGCCUGAAAGAGGGAAUGGGCAGAUAAAUGAGUUGAUAACUGGAGUGAAGUCCAGAGAGACUUUCUCAAGAUCAGCAAUGCUAUAUAGCAUGUUUACUGUCCCUUAUAUUAUGUUUAAAUAUCAUUUAUGAAUUUCCGGUACUCUUCUUUUCUCUUGCAACCCCUUUGUAGAAAUAUUACAUUGGAUGCUAAAAUAUUGUGUGUGUGUGUGUGUGUGUGUGUUUGAAAUAGAUUGGGG